GCUGGCGUAGCUCAGUUGGUAGAGCAGCGCAUUCGUAAUGCGCAGGCCGGAGGUUCAACCCCUCUCGCCAGCU
rnacentral:tRNA from 1 species